UACGGCUAUAUCACGUUGAAACAUUGGUUUUCCUACUAUCACCGAAGUUAAGCAACGUCGAGCUUGGUCAGCACCUAAAUAGGUGACCGCUUGGGAAUACAGGGUGCUGUAAG